GACGAACGCUGGCGGCGUGCUUAACACAUGCAAGUCGAACAGAAAGGCCCUGCUUUUGUGGGGUUCUCGAGUGGCGAACGGGUGAGUAACACGUGAGUAACCUGCCCUUGACUUUGGUAUAACUUCAGGAAACUGGGGCUAAUACCGGAUAGGAGCUCCUGCUGCAUGGUGGGGGUUGGAAAGUUUCGGCGGUUGGGGAUGGACUCGCGGCUUAUCAGCUUGUUGGUGGGGUAGUGGCUUACCAAGGCAUUGACGGGUAGCCGGCCUGAGAGGGUGACCGGCCACAUUGGGACUGCGAUACGGCCCAGACUCGUAUGGGAGGCAGCAGUCGCGAAUAUUGCACAAUGGGCGGAAGCCUGAUGAAGCAGCGCUGCGUGCGGGAUGACGGUCUUCGGGUUGUAAACCGCUUCCGCCUGUGACGCAGCGUGAGUGACGGUAAUGGGUAAAGAAGCACCGGCUAACUACGUG
rnacentral:rRNA from 1 species